UACGUAAAAGGCAAGCGUUGUCCGGAUUUAUUGGGCGUAAAGCGCUCGCAGGUGGUUCGAUGCGUCGUGCGUGAAAGACCCCGGCUCAACUGGGGAGGGUCGUGCGAUACGGUCGAACUGGAGGCCAGUAGGGGGAUGCGGAAUUCCGGGUGUAGUGGUGGAAUGCGUAGAGAUCCGGAGGAACACCAGCGGCGAAGACGGCAUCCUGGACUGGUCCUGACACUCAUGAGCGAAAGCGUGGGGAGCGAUCCGG
rnacentral:rRNA from 1 species